CUUCAACGAGCCCAGCCACAACGGCCGGUCCUCCGACCGUUCCCGACCAUAGGUGGCGAUCAACGCCUGGGCCUC
rnacentral:antisense_RNA from 2 species